rnacentral:tRNA from 1 species
GACCUCAUCGUCUAACGGUUAGGACGCCAGGUUCUCAGUCUGGAAAUCGGGGUUCAAUUCCCCGUGAGGUCACCA